UUGUUAAAACUGGAAAUGGAUUUGUUGAAUCAGCGUCGCUGAAGAAAUGACGAUGCCGUUGGUCUGUUCCGCUGUUUCCGAGGGUGUGAAAAUGAUCAUUUCUCUUCGUUGAUUGUGGACCCGCUGGUUCUGAUUUAGAAGCAGGUCCACAAUUUAUUCAUCAACCUUUGUCAAAGCUAUUUAAAGAUGUCAGUCAUGAUGACCAGGACUCUUGUCUGUUGC